GGGGAUGUAGCUCAGUGGUAGAGUGCCUGCUUUGCAUGGAGGAGGUCCUGGGUUGAAUCCCCAGCAUCUCCA